CCGGCUUCUCCCAGCAGUGAAUGCACCGAGGUACAGGGAAGCCCCGUGAGACCUCCUGCCUGGCAGAGGCAGUCCGUCCUCCGUGAGAGAAGCAUACAGAUAGAGGUGAUGAGGGAUCCCUGAGGGCAACGUAUCUAUGUCCAUUCCUAUGGCAGGAAGGUGUGCAGUGUUCCGGAAGCAUUCUGAAGCCACAAGCCCCAUGAGCAUAACCACAUGGAUUUCAUUCCUGGUGGACCUAAAAUCUGAGAGCCGUGGCUGUGGAGAGAAACUGCUACUUGGGAAUAAAAAUAGCCAGGCCACUUGCUCUGCUCCUGCUCUAUCUUCAAGUGGAAUUCCCUACAAAAUGCAGCUCCAGGAAGGAGCAAUCAACAGGGCAGAUGUGAUACCUACCAUCCUCAUAGGAUGUAGAAGUGGAGCUCAUAGAGUCAUUUAUGUUGGCAAAGACCUUCAAGAUCACCAGGAAUAA
rnacentral:lncRNA from 1 species